CCCACAUCAGGCCCAAAGUCUCUGCACAGAACAGAAACUGGAAUGUCGACGGGAGGGACACACAGAGAGAGGCAGAGACACAGGCAGAGGGAGAAGCAGGCUCCCUACAGGGAGCCCGAUGCAGACUCCGACUCCAUUGGACCCCGAGAUCAUGACCUGAGCUGAAGGCAGAUGCUCAGUCACUGAGCCACCCAGGGACGGCUCUGUGUGUCUGGGAAGAUGCCAAGCUGAGAACAGGAGUGAAGACGUGACGUGCCCAAGGAGCAAAAGUCUUCCAGUCUCCGUGAGUGAAAUGGUCCCUCCGUGGAAAGGGAAACCACCUUUGAAGGUUUGCUUUGUCCUCUCCUGUGACCCUGCUGUCCCCAACUGCUGUUUGGGGUGAUCUGAGAGGCUGUGGGCUAGGAGAUCACCCACAGGUGGGGACACACUUGGACACUGGGUGCUCCCAGAUCUAGGAGUGGAGAAACCUCCUUCCUGCCCACCUGUCUAGAUGUCUGCUGCUAUGUUUCCCCGCAGGAUAGGAUUCCGUGGAGACAGUCAUCCAGCAGACCUCGGGUCUCUGAGGGAUCCUUUUCCGACCCUGCCCUUUGUUUUCAGCAUCUCCUUAGGGCCCUUUAUCAGUCAUCCCGCCCACAGACCCAGGGAGGCACCUGGAAACGCGAGGAGGGAUGGCGGGGGGUUCUGAGACCACUAGGUGUCCCCUGGAAGUGAGCGAGCACCUUCUGCAUGGCUGGGGGCCGGGCCGGACUCGAGGACAGUCACCACCUUAAGUAGGCGAGGGCAGGAGCAGAACUGGG